CAGUCGCCGCGGUAAUACGUAGGUGGCAAGCGUUGUCCGGAAUUAUUGGGCGUAAAGGGCUCGCAGGCGGUUUCUUAAGUCUGAUGUGAAAGCCCCCGGCUCAACCGGGGAGGGUCAUUGGAAACUGGGAAACUUGAGUGCAGAAGAGGAGAGUGGAAUUCCACGUGUAGCGGUGAAAUGCGUAGAGAUGUGGAGGAACACCAGUGGCGAAGGCGACUCUCUGGUCUGUAACUGACACUGAGGAGCGAAAGCGUGGGGAGCGAACAGGAUUAGAUACCCGAGUAGUCCCUGUCUCUUAUAU
rnacentral:rRNA from 1 species